GCCCCGCGCUGCCUGCGCCAGCUGACUGUUGUCCUCCCCGCGCUCAGCGGGCCAGACUUGGACCCUUGUCCCUCUCUCGCGUCGCCAGCGCCUGGCUCAGGUCUGGCCCUGGGAAGGCUCUCUGGAAACACCUGUGGCGCUAGAGCUUGGCGACGGGCGACGCGGAAGGGACCGCGCGCUUCAGGCCACCAUCCCUGCCUGCGCCCCAACCCGUGCCAGGCGCUGGGGGAACAAUGAUGAAUGCGGAGCCCGCCGGCUUCCAGCGCAGCUCUGCCUGCCGCGCCCAGCGCCGGCGUUCCCUGUCAGGGAUGUUGGGCCUUUUACAGAACUCACCUCCUACCUUUCCAACAACUCUGUCAUGGAGAAAUUCUGGAAGGAAAACAAGGUCCACUGUGCACCCAGUACAUUUUAUACACUGGGAAUUUUUUCCAAGUACUCUAAAGUAGUAACAUGGAUGUGGUGAUAGAGGAGGAGGGAAUGAAAUGUAUUUUCAGCAAGAAUUAAAGGUGUGCUGAAACAGA